UCGUGCUGCCUUCAGGGGCUCCCUGUAAGCUCCCAAAUUCCAGCACUCGUGUUGUUUAUGUCAUCAUGCGUUGAGCUGUUUUUACAUGGACAUUUAAAGGCAAUAGACAAUGUAAAGGGGUGUUUUCUUCCUUUAAGGUGUCAGUUUCUUACAGUUAGGGCUACAUGCAUAGGUUAGCUACCAUACUGCCAUUUGUGUUUUUCCAUUAUGUUCUUAAGUGCACAUACAUUCACUUAUGUGUAUUGCAUGCCUAUUUAAUGCUUUCUAUCCAUCAGUUAAAGUCCCCCUCCACUCAAAACGUGUUGUUCUUCUUGUUCCUACAGUGUGAGCUUCACUGUGCAGAAUGACGUAUGUGCAGAGUUUGACACUAGAGGGAUGUUUUCACAUUCAUCUGCUGAAAGUUUCUCUGUGCUCAUUGAAAGUCUGCGAGCAUGAUUUGUGACAUCACAAAUAGUUUGGAAGUCAGUCCUGGGUCAGUAUUUCGUGGACAGUCAUAGCAAACCUUAACAUUUCCGACGGUCCGUGAAUGCAGCAUUACCGCAGCGUUCUCAGCAGGGCUGCACUAACAGGCAACAAGGAAGCAGAAUAACGGAGUGCAUCUGACGGUGCUCCCACAGAGGUCCAACAGAACAACGCGCCGAGCUGCGGAUUGUCUGAAUCCUGAUUGAAACACAUGAAUACAACAAUCGUUGGCACUCAAAACACAUCAUUCAUUAAUGUAGGCCUACUGGCGUUUCAGGCACACACCCUCCAGUCAAAGGGCAACAGUGCUGCAACAUGCACGGGUGUGCUUUUAUAAGAUUGAUCAGAUUAAUAAAGUUCAGCAAUGUAGUCAACAGGGGGGUCAUAUACCUGAGGCCACCAGACCCACCCUCCUUGGAUUAUCUGUAUGGUCUUAUAAUAUGAGCUCUGGGAACCAUAACACAUAGUAUAUUCCUAUCGAUGUGUAAUAUACAGAUGCAACAUUAAAAAGCAUCUAUACAUAUAUAAGUAUUAUAUAAUAUAUUAUAUUAUUAUAAAUAUAUAUAUUAUAUAAUACUUCAAGUAUUAGGAGAGUUAGUGGAGUGGACACAUAUUUACAUGUAAAAAUCUGGUUAUUUUCUCCAAUGGUUCCAGGCCCUUUAUACCUCAGAUUAAAAAUGCAUUCACACAGCCUUCACUUUAGGCUCCUGAAACAACACAAAUCAGCCCAAUCAUCUAUUACCAGGGCAGAAGGAAUACAAAUGAUUUAGCAAAAGGUAAUUCUUUACUUCACUUUACUUUAUGUACAGAUCCCUCCUGUAUCUGUAUAACCUCCUUUUUAUAUGACAACCUCACAACAAAUUCAUAAUGACAGACGGCUGUCCCUUCACAAUAAAUAACUUAAUAACACA